rnacentral:lncRNA from 1 species
UGAGGAUGAGGAUGAGGAUGAGAAGAAGGAGAGAGGAAAAAGAAUGGAAGAAAAAUAGUGUGAAAAAUAGAAAAUGAAAUAGUGUAAAUUCUGUCAAAAUAGUGCAAUUUUGUUCUAAACAGUGUAAUGUGAUUUCAAAGAGUGCAAUUUUUUUUCAAAGAGUGUAACUUUCAUUUAAAAUAGUGCAAAAAUUUUUAAAACAGUGCAAUUGUUUUUUAAAUAGUACAAUUCCAUCUUCUUCUUCUUUCUUCUAUUUUUUUUGUCUUUAUUUUUUUAUUUUUUUUUCUACAAUUUUUUUUUCAUGCCUCUUCGCCAACGACCACUGCGCCGGCGAUGACGUCCCUAAGGACUUCCCGCUUCGAGGCUGCGACGUCGCAGCGACCUUCGCGGCAUCAGCGUUGGCAGAGAAGCAUCGCCGUCGGAAGUGGCGAAGAAAACGAAGGAGGAGGGAGAGGAAAAGGGCGAGAAAAAGCGAGGAAGGGCGAGAAAGACGUCGUCGUCGGAGGCGGGUCGUCGUCGGAGAGGGGAAAAAAAAAGAGGAGUUGCGGUGCAGUCGUGAUGGGGUUGGAGGCGAGGAAGCACAGGGUGCGUGGGUGAGGGUGAGAGCAUGAGGGCGAGAGGCGAGGCGGGCUGUUUCCGCCUCCGCCUCCGCCUCCGCCUACGCCUCCGCCUCCGCCUACGCCAUCGCUGCGUUCUUUAGAGAGAGAGAAAAAAAAAAGAACGAGAGAAAAAAAAAAAAAGAGAAGAAGAAAAAGUACUAAGGGUAUUUUGGUCAGUUUGCUGAAAAUCUGGCCUGAAUCUGCAAAAACGAAAAAGGUGGCCCGGUUUUGCAAAAGCCAAAAUAAGUGGAUUUUUUUGCAAAUUGGCCUUUUGAAUUCGAUGAUAGAUUUUUUUUUCUUAUUUAGUUGAAAAAAAUGACAUCACUAUAAGCGUCUCCUUUUUGUUAGUUGGCAAAAAAGAAUAAACUUUGUCCCAAAAAAAAAAAAGGCCAAUUUGCAUUAAAAAUUCACUAGUUUUAGGCUUUUGCAAAAGUGGGCCACCUUUUUCGUCUUUGCAGAUUCGGUCCUAUUUUUCAGCAAACUGACCAAAAUACCCUGACCAAAAUACCCUUAUACCUCUUUCUCUUUCCUCUUCUUUUUUCUCUCGUUUUUUUUUUCUUUUUCUUCCCAGAGAGCGGCGGAGGCAGAGGCGGAGGCGGCCCGCUUCGGUUUUAUCUGGCGCAUCCUUACCCUCGCCCGCGCACCCCUCGCCGAGGCUGCGCUGCGAUUUUUUUUUUCCCUUUUCGACCCU